UUUGAGUUUGAUCGUGGCUCAGAUUUAGCGCUGGCGGCAGGCUUAACACAGUGCAAGUCGAGCGGUAGCACAGGGGGAAGCUUGCUCCCUGGGUGACGAGCGGCGGACGGGUGAGUAAUGUCUGGGAAACUGCCUGAUGGAGGGGGAUAACUACUGGAAACGGUAGCUAAUACCGCAUAACGUCGCAAGACCAAAGAGGGGGACCUUCGGGCCUCUUGCCAUCAGAUGUGCCCAGAUGGGAUUAGCUAGUAGGUGGGGUAAUGGCUCACCUAGGCGACGAUCCCUAGCUGGUCUGAGAGGAUGACCAGCCACACUGGAACUGAGACACGGUCCAGACUCCUACGGGAGGCAGCAGUGGGGAAUAUUGCACAAUGGGCGCAAGCCUGAUGCAGCCAUGCCGCGUGUGUGAAGAAGGCCUUCGGGUUGUAAAGCACUUUCAGCGAGGAGGAAGGUGGUGAACUUAAUACGUUCAUCAAUUGACGUUACUCGCAGAAGAAGCACCGGCUAACUCCGUGCCAGCCGCCGCCGUAACACAA
rnacentral:rRNA from 1 species